CCCUCGUAGUUCAAUGGAUAGAACAACCCCGUCCUAAGGGGUCGAUGUAGGUUCGAUUCCUGCCGAGGG
rnacentral:tRNA from 1 species